rnacentral:rRNA from 1 species
UACGAAGGGGGGCUAGCGUUGCUCGGAAUCACUGGGCGUAAAGGGUGCGUAGGCGGGUCUUUUAAGUCAGGGGGUGAAAUCCUGGAGCUCAACUCCAGAACUGCCUUUGAUACUGAGGAUCUCGAGUCCGGAAGAGGUGAGUGGAACUGCGAGUGUAGAGGUGAAAUUCGUAGAUAUUCGCAAGAACACCAGUGGCGAAGGCGGCUCACUGGUCCGGUACUGACGCUGAGGUGCGAAAGCGUGGGGAGCAAACAG